AAAGAAGACGCUUUGAAGACAAAAUGAGUGCUCUUCACAAAUGCUAUUAUCUGAUGAGAGAAUUUUUGGGUGCUGUAGGUCUUAGGCCAUCAACACGACCUGGAGGUGAGGAAUGAGACACAGGUGCAGCUAGAGUCGGUAGAGUUGGCGCUGUUGGUGCUACAGGUUCUGGCUCGUCAUCAAAUGCUGUCCUGCUUCCGCUAUUAACAUUCGGUUUAGACAUCUUUGUGUGAAAGUGAAGUUUUGAGAACCCUUUUUUGCUCCCAUGCCUCAAGUGCCUGGCUUCUGUAGAUUGAAGAAAAUGGGGUAAUGUGAUUAGGAGCAAAAGGGCAGUAAGAACCAACUUUCUUUGAGCCAUGAAGAGCAAGCUAAGGAGGAUAAGGGGAUAUGGAGAUAUGGAGAGAAUAUUCAGUUAGUUCUGGUCUUCUGGAUGCUUGUAUUCUCACUCCCUCCUCGAGUAUUUAUACACAAAAAUAAGCAACUUGAGGCUUGCCAAAGCCAGGUCCUAAUUCUCUAAGAUGCAUGCAAUACCUAAAAAAUACAGGUAAUGCAGAUUUUUCUGUACGUGAUAUGUGAUAGGAGGUUACAUACAGACCAAACUCAAGCGUAUGAAUUGAAGAUUCCAGCCCUCAAGUUCCUCGUAUGGUGGGGUGGUUGUGCUAUGCAGGUCAGAAUAAUAAUAAUUAAUAAUAUUUGUGAGCUUAAAUUCUUUAUAGUAUAUAGGAAGAAGUUGUGGGGACUGGGGACAAAUUUAUCAUGGAACCAAACAUUGUUUUCAGGGUAAAUGUUUGUUUUUAUGGCUUGCAUGUACUUGCUAUGCUCAGAUCAUAAUCAAUUCCUUGUUUUCAGUUGAGCGUAGUUACUUUCCAACUGGAGAAUCUAUAAAUUUAUUCUGUGUACUUAGCUGCCUUUUUUUUUUUUUUAAAGUCCGGAGUCACCUUGACAAAAGGUGAACGACUUAAGGGGUUUUGAAAGGCUGGUCAUCUAGUUCCAACCUUGUACUUGAUACCUUUGUGCCACUAGAAUACACACUCCUAUAGCCCUAUUAUUUAUUUAUUUUUAAGUGAGUUUUCUGAACUGAACCU